GGGGAAGUGUGCCCGAAUUCAAGGACUACUUUGAUAGAGUAGACAAAAGAGGUUAAAAUCCACUCACUUCC
rnacentral:tRNA from 1 species